GAACUGAAGAGUUUGAUCAUGGCUCAGAUUGAACGCUGGCGGCAGGCCUAACACAUGCAAGUCGAGCGGAUGAAGAGAGCUUGCUCUCUGAUUCAGCGGCGGACGGGUGAGUAAUGCCUAGGAAUCUGCCUGGUAGUGGGGGACAACGUUUCGAAAGGAACGCUAAUACCGCAUACGUCCUACGGGAGAAAGCAGGGGACCUUCGGGCCUUGCGCUAUCAGAUGAGCCUAGGUCGGAUUAGCUAGUUGGUGAGGUAAUGGCUCACCAAGGCGACGAUCCGUAACUGGUCUGAGAGGAUGAUCAGUCACACUGGAACUGAGACACGGUCCAGACUCCUACGGGAGGCAGCAGUGGGGAAUAUUGGACAAUGGGCGAAAGCCUGAUCCAGCCAUGCCGCGUGUGUGAAGAAGGUCUUCGGAUUGUAAAGCACUUUAAGUUGGGAGGAAGGGCAGUAAGCUAAUACCUUGCUGUUUUGACGUUACCGACAGAAUA
rnacentral:rRNA from 1 species